GACGAACGCUGGCGGCUUGCUUAACACAUGCAAGUCGAACGGUAAGGCCCUUCGGGGUACACGAGUGGCGAACGGGUGAGUAACACGUGGGUGAUCUGCCCUGCACUUCGGGAUAAGCCUGGGAAACUGGGUCUAAUACCGGAUAGGACUCCUGGCUUCAUGGGUGGGGGUGGAAAGCUUUUGCGGUGUGGGAUGGGCCCGCGGCCUAUAAGCUUGUUGGUGGGGUAAUGGCCUACCAAGGCGGCGACGGGGAGCCGGCCUGAGAGGGUGACCGGUCACACUGGGACUGAGAUACGGCCCAGACUCCUACGGGAGGCAGCAGUGGGGAAUAUUGCACAAUGGGCGCAAGCCUGAUGCAGCGACGCCGCGUGAGGGAUGACGGCCUUCGGGUUGUAAACCUCUUUCAGCUAUGACGAAGCGCAAGUGACGGUAGUAGCAGAAGAAGGACCGGCCAACUACGUGCCAGCAGCCGCAGUAA
rnacentral:rRNA from 1 species